rnacentral:rRNA from 1 species
ACGCUUGACACCUACGGGAGCAGCAGUAGGGAAUCUUCCACAAUGGACGCAAGUCUGAUGGAGCAACGCCGCGUGAGUGAAGAAGGUUUUCGGAUCGUAAAGCUCUGUUGUUGGUGAAGAAGGAUAGAGGUAGUAACUGGCCUUUAUUUGACGGUAAUCAACCAGAAAGUCACGGCUAACUACGUGCCACAGCCGCGGUAAUCUGAGCGGGCUGGCAAGGC